rnacentral:rRNA from 1 species
AUUGAACGCUGGCGGCAGGCCUAACACAUGCAAGUCGAGCGAGCGGCGGACGGGUGAGUAAUGUCUGGGAAACUGCCUGAUGGAGGGGGAUAACUCCUGGAAACGGUAGCUCAUACCGCAUACAAUCAGAUGUGCGCCGAUGGGGGUAGCUCGUGGGUGGGGGAACGGCUAACCCAGGCGACGAUCCCUAGCUGGUCUGAGAGGAUGACCAGUCACACUGGAACUGGGAUACGGUCCAGACUCCGACUGGAGGCAGCAGUGGGGAAUAUUGCACAAUGGGCGAAAGCCUGAUGCAGCCAGGCCGCGUGUGUGAAGAAGGGCUUCGGGUUGUAAAGCACUUUCAGCGGGGAGGCGUUACCCGCAGAAGAAGCACCGGCUAACUCCGUGCCAGCAGCCGCGGUAAUAC